AGGUACUAUUUAAUUAUAUAAAUUUUAUGCUUCAACAUCACCAGCAAUUUAUUCAGAAUUUUAACUGAUCUUCUAAUACAUCAAAACUUGAUUGGAAAUAAGCAAAAAUCUUCUAUUUAUCUUUCUGGUCAGUUGGAUAAUAUUCUUUUUGCUUAAGAGAAAUUUAGCACAUUUUUUUCCUGCAGCCAGUUAGCCAUUUAAGUGUGGUCAUUGUUGGUGCUUACAUGCUGUAGAGAUUUUAAAGGAAGGUAAAUAGUUUAGACAAAAAAAAAAAUAGUAAUCACAGUGGGAUGUUGGGAAGAUUUUUUUUUUCUAUGUCUUUCUUAUGUAAUGCAUUUUUCUGUUGUGGAGAAAAUCUUUUUUUCUUGACUUGCCUCACUCUCAUUCCAGCACCCAGCCUCACAAGUCAAGCAGAGCACCUAACUGGCUGAUCCAAGUUAAGGCAGCUGGAUAUCUCCCCAAGACCACAUUAUGGUAGUCUUGAAUUGUGGACCACAAUUCAUUAGUCAUUCCUUGUGGCUCAGUAUCACCUUCAGCAUGAUCCAAACCACAAAUUGGUUUCAGAAGCAUCAGCAUGAGUCCUUUUCUGACCUGGACAGACUCUGUCUAACUAUGUCCUCACAUGCACAGCUGAAUCGAUUGUUUUUUAGUGAUAUAACUGAGAUUCACAAGACCUAGUUUUUGAGUGUGUAGCAAUAUCAGUCACACCAUCCAAGAAUAUGUUUCCAUUUGUUUUCCCAAGUAAAUCGCACCAUUGUGCCCACAGAGUGCCACACAAAAUGUUGUGGUUGUAAAUAUGUUCAGCAACAGUUAGGAUUUGGAUGCUGAUUCAAAGCCCAUUGAAGCCAAUGAAAAGACUCCUAUUGAUUUCAGUGUGCUUUGGCUCCAUCACUUGAUUCUUUGUUUAGAACUUCUAAUGAUUAUUUAGUGGAAGAGGCAAUACUGUGAGCUUUGGGUGCUGCAGCACUCUUGCUAAAAAUAAAAUUAUAAGGAAAGAAUCUUUUUUGGGGAAA
rnacentral:lncRNA from 1 species